UGUACUUUGUUUUUGUUUUUUCCCCCCAAAGUGAGGCGUCUGUGUUGAUGACCAAGGAUGUUGAGAGAUAAUCUGCACAUCUUAAAGAGCUCAGUUUAUUUUCUUCACCUCCACUCCUUGAUGGAAGUCCACUCGUUGUUGACUUUGUCAGUGCUACAGAAUUCCAAGUGAGGUCCUGAAAGUGUUAAUAGCGGUUUCUCCUGAGAAAAUCAACAGCUGCUGAGGUGGAAUGUUAAAGAAUGUGGCGCGUCUCCCAGAAAUCCUAUAUAAUUCAACCAAUCAGAUGACGACUUGGAAACUCCUGUAAUGUUUCCAGUUUUGUGUGCCGUAUGCAUCAGAUGUUCAGCCAGCGGUCUGUGGGCAUGAUGGCUGAGACUAGAAUCAACCAGGCACUGAUGCCCUCUUCUCUCU